rnacentral:rRNA from 1 species
UACGUAGGGGGCGAGCGUUAUCCGGAUUCACUGGGUGUAAAGGGAGCGUAGACGGCCAUGCAAGCCAGGGGUGAAAGCCCGGGGCCCAACCCCGGGACUGCCCUUGGAACUGCAUGGCUGGAGUGCGGGAGGGGCAGGCGGAAUUCCUGGUGUAGCGGUGAAAUGCGUAGAUAUCACGCAGAACUCCGAUUGCGAAGGCAGCAUACCGGCGCCCAACUGACGCUGAAGCACGAAAGCGUGGGUAUCGAACAGG